CACAGGAAUGUACAGAUACCAGAUAAGAAAAGGCUAAAUAUUUCUGGAUUGGGUUAAACGGAGAUGGAGAAAAGACAGAUUUGGCUUGAUGACUCCCAAUGAAAAGGAUAUAGGUUGGCAUUAAGAGGAAAUGCAGAUGGCAAGAACUGUGCUGCUUUC